AUUGAACGCUGGCGGCAUGCCUUACACAUGCAAGUCGAACGGUAACAGGUCUUCGGAUGCUGACGAGUGGCGAACGGGUGAGUAAUACAUCGGAACGUGCCCGAUCGUGGGGGAUAACGAAGCGAAAGCUUUGCUAAUACCGCAUACGAUCUACGGAUGAAAGCAGGGGACCGCAAGGCCUUGCGCGAACGGAGCGGACGAUGGCAGAUUAGGUGGUUGGUGGGAUAAAAGCUUACCAAGCCGACGAUCUGUAGCUGGUCUGAGAGGACGACCAGCCACACUGGGACUGAGACACGGCCGAGACUCCUACGGGAGGCAGCAGUGGGGAAUUUUGGACAAUGGGCGAAAGCCUGAUGCAGCCAUGCCGCGUGCAGGAUGAAGGCCUUCGGGUUGUAAACUGCUUUUGUACGGAACGAAAAGACUCUGGUUAAUACCUGGGGUCCAUGACGGUACCGUAAGAAUAAGCACCGGCUAACUACGUGCCAGCAGCCGCCGUAACAC
rnacentral:rRNA from 1 species